UGCAAGUCGAGGGGCAGCAUGGUCUUAGCUUGCUAAGGCCGAUGGCGACCGGCGCACGGGUGAGUAACGCGUAUCCAACCUGCCUUACACUCUUGGACAGCCUUCUGAAAGGGAGAUUAAUACAAGAUGUUAUCAUGAGUAAGCAUUUUCGCAUGAUUAAAGGUUUACCGGUGUAAGAUGGGGAUGCGUUCCAUUAGAUAGUAGGCGGGGUAACGGCCCACCUAGUCUUCGAUGGAUAGGGGUUCUGAGAGGAAGGUCCCCCACAUUGGAACUGAGACACGGUCCAAACUCCUACGGGAGGCAGCAGUGAGGAAUAUUGGUCAAUGGACGAGAGUCUGAACCAGCCAAGUAGCGUGAAGGAUGAAGGUUCUAUGGAUUGUAAACUUCUUUUAUACGGGAAUAAACGAAUCCACGCGUGGAUUUUUGCAUGUACCGUAUGAAUAAGGAUCGGCUAACUCCGUGCCAGCAGCCGCGGUAAUACGGAGGAUCCGAGCGUUAUCCGGAUUUAUUGGGUUUAAAGGGAGCGUAGAUGGGUUGUUAAGUCAGUUGUGAAAGUUUGCGGCUCAACCGUAAAAUUGCAAUUGAUACUGGCAGUCUUGAGUACAGUUGAGGUAGGCGGAAUUCGUGGUGUAGCGGUGAAAUGCUUAGAUAUCACGAAGAACUCCGAUUGCGAAGGCAGCUUACUAACCUGUAACUGACAUUGAUGCUCGAAAGUGUGGGUAUCAAACAGGAUUAGAUACCCUGGUAGUCCACAUGGUAAACGAUGAAUACUCGCUGUAGGCGAUAUACGGUCUGCGG
rnacentral:rRNA from 1 species